rnacentral:rRNA from 1 species
GACGAACGCUGGCGGCGUGACUAAUACAUGCAAGUCGAGCGAAGCGGCGGACGGGUGAGUAACACGUAAGGAACCUACCGAUAAGCGGGGGACAACAUCCGGAAACGGGUGCUAAUACCGCAUAUCUAUCGAUGGCCUCGCGGUGCAUUAGCUCGUUGGUGGGGUAACGGCCUACCAAGGCAAUGCUGCAUAGCCGACCUGAGAGGUUAAUCGGCCAAAUUUGGACUGCGACACGGCCCAGACUCCUACGGGAGGCAGCAGUGGGGAAUCUUCCGCAAUGGGCGAAAGUCUUACGGGGCCACGCCGCGUGAGUGAUGACGGCCUUCGGGUUGUAAAGCUCUUUUAAGCGGGACGCGGUACCGGAAUAGAAAGCCACGGCUAACUCCGUGCCAGCAGCCGCGGUAAUAC